CCUANGGGAGGCAGCAGUCGAGAAUCUUCACAAUGGGCGAAAGCCUGAUGGUGCGACGCCGCGUGGAGGAUGAAGGCCCUCGGGUUGUAAACUCCUGUCAUCAGGGAGUAAAGCUUAAGUGUUAAUAGCACCUCAAGCCUGAUAGUACCUGAAGAGGAAGGGGCGGCAAACUCCGUGCCAGCAGCCGCGGUAACACGGAGGCCCCGAGCGUUGUUCGGAUUUACUGGGCGUAAAGCGUGCGUAGGCGGUUGGGCAAGUCAGAUGUGAAAGCCCGAGGCUCAACCUCGGAACUGCAUCCGAUACUGCCUGACUAGAGGGCUGGAGAGGAGACUGGAAUUCACGGUGUAGCAGUGAAAUGCGUGGAUAUCGUGAGGAAGACCAAAGGCGAAGGCAGGUCUCUGGACAGCACCUGACGCUGAUGCACGAAGGCCAGGGGAGCAAAAAGGAUUAGAUACCCCUNUANUC
rnacentral:rRNA from 1 species